rnacentral:rRNA from 1 species
GACGAACGCUGGCGGCGUGCUUAACACAUGCAAGUCGAACGGAAAGGCCCUGCUUUUGUGGGGUGCUCGAGUGGCGAACGGGUGAGUAACACGUGAGUAACCUGCCCUUGACUUUGGGAUAACUUCAGGAAACUGGGGCUAAUACCGGAUAGGAGCUCCUGCUGCAUGGUGGGGGUUGGAAAGUUUCGGCGGUUGGGGAUGGACUCGCGGCUUAUCAGCUUGUUGGUGGGGUAGUGGCUUACCAAGGCUUUGACGGGUAGCCGGCCUGAGAGGGUGACCGGCCACAUUGGGACUGAGAUACGGCCCAGACUCCUACGGGAGGCAGCAGUGGGGAAUAUUGCACAAUGGGCGGAAGCCUGAUGCAGCAACGCCGCGUGCGGGAUGACGGCCUUCGGGUUGUAAACCGCUUUCGCCUGUGACGAAGCGUGAGUGACGGUAAUGGGUAAAGAAGCACCGGCUAACUACGUGCCAGCAGCCGCGGUGAUACGUAGGGUGCGAGCGUUGUCCGGAUUUAUUGGGCGUAAAGGGCUCGUAGGUGGUUGAUCGCGUCGGAAGUGUAAUCUUGGGGCUUAACCCUGAGCGUGCUUUCGAUACGGGUUGACUUGAGGAAGGUAGGGGAGAAUGGAAUUCCUGGUGGAGCGGUGGAAUGCGCAGAUAUCAGGAGGAAUACCAGUGGCGAAGGCGGUUCUCUGGGCCUUUCCUGACGCUGAGGAGCGAAAGCGUGGGGAGCGAACAGGCUUAGAUACCCUGGUAGUCCACGCUGUAAACGGUGGGUACUAGGUGUGGGGUCCAUUCCACGGGUUCCGUGCCGUAGCUAACGCUUUAAGUACCCCGCCUGGGGAGUACGGCCGCAAGGCUAAAACUCAAAGGAAUUGGCGGGGCCCCGCACAAGCGGCGGAGCAUGCGGAUUAAUUCGAUGCAACGCGUAGAACCUUACCUGGGUUUGACAUGGAUCGGGAGUGCUCAGAGAUGGGUGUGCCUCUUUUGGGGUCGGUUCACAGGUGGUGCAUGGCUGUCGUCAGCUCGUGUCGUGAGAUGUUGGGUUAAGUCCCGCAACGAGCGCAACCCUUGUUCACUGUUGCCAGCACGUUAUGGUGGGGACUCAGUGGAGACCGCCGGGGUCAACUCGGAGGAAGGUGGGGAUGACGUCAAGUCAUCAUGCCCCUUAUGUCCAGGGCUUCACGCAUGCUACAAUGGCUGGUACAGAGAGUGGCGAGCCUGUGAGGGUGAGCGAAUCUCGGAAAGCCGGUCUCAGUUCGGAUUGGGGUCUGCAACUCGACCUCAUGAAGUCGGAGUCGCUAGUAAUCGCAGAUCAGCAACGCUGCGGUGAAUACGUUCCCGGGGCU